rnacentral:rRNA from 1 species
UGGGGAAUAUUGCGCAAUGGGCGAAAGCCUGACGCAGCUACGCCGCGUGGGUGAUUAAGGCCUUCGGGUUGUAAAGCCCUGUCGGGAGGGACGAAGUUCUGACGGUACCUCCCAAGAAAGCACCGGCUAACUCCGUGCCAGCAGCCGCGGUAAUACGGAGGGUGCGAGCGUUGCUCGGAAUCAUUGGGCGUAAAGCGUACGCAGGCGGUUCGUCAAGUCGGGUGUGAAAGCCCGGGGCUCAACCCCGGAAAUGCGCCCGAAACUGGCGAGCUUGAGUGCGGGAGAGGGAAGCGGAAUUCCUGGUGUAGAGGUGAAAUUCGUAGAUAUCAGGAGGAACACCGGUGGCGAAAGCGGCUUCCUGGCCCGACACUGACGCUCAUGUACGAAAGCGUGGGGAGCAAACAGGAUUAGAUACCCCCGUAGUCCCUGAGCGGGCUGGCAAGGCGCAU